UUCACAUCAAGCACGUCAAUUUGCGUACACGUAACAGCACCGCGCGUUCAUGACAGCAUGGCACUGGAUUGUUAUAUGAUGGAGUUUGAUAUUAACGAGGCGGCAGUUAGCAGCUAGCGGCUAGCUAGUAAUUAGGUCUUAGUAGCUCUGUACGUGUUUUCUUUUCCUUAUGACUGUUGAAAGUAAACAUAUUUAUUCUAUAUUUCCUUCUAUAUGUGGAUUUGAAUGUAUGUCACAGUCCUCUGUUUAUUUAUUGUUAAGAAACGCAACACAUGGUUUUCAACAGUGGAACGAUUUAUGUGAAUGUCAACAGCAACAUCCCAAGCUUCUUUCUAGCCAAUAUUCAUUAUGUUGUAUCUGUACCUUCAACUGCAACUGACCAAUUUGGUGUAUUUUGUUCGCAAAUCUGUGUUCAACAUACUACUUGGAGUACGCUUAACAAGUCUGUACUGAACAUGGACACGCAAAACUCUCAACAGGAAGAACUGUUGAACACUUGUCACUAUAUGAAGCUCAGCGCAAGUUCUUUCAGGAAGACUGGUCAGCUGUGAUUGCAGGUGUUCAUGCUGCCGCCCGCCUCCUCUCCACCCACCUCCGUUCAUCAUAUCCAGAGCCAGGAGAGUUAAUCCAAAGACCUCAUUACACCUCCUCUUCAUCCCAUCUCCUCAUGAAAUCCAGAUCUUCAGCAUCAUCAUCAC